GUAGGGUGCGAGCGUUAAUCGGAAUUACUGGGCGUAAAGCGUGCGCAGGCGGCGCCGCAAGUCAGGCGUGAAAUCCCCGAGCUUAACUUGGGAAUGGCGCUUGAAACUACGGUGCUGGAGUGUGGCAGAGGGAGGUGGAAUUCCACGUGUAGCGGUGAAAUGCGUAGAGAUGUGGAGGAACACCGAUGGCGAAGGCAGCCUCCUGGGCCAACACUGACGCUCAUGCACGAAAGCGUGGGGAGCAAACAGGAUUAGAUACCCUGGUAGUCCACGCCCUAAACGAUGAUGACUAGUUGUUGGGGGAGUUAAAUUCCUUAGUAACGCAGCUAACGCGUGAAGUCAUCCGCCUGGGGAGUACGGUCGCAAGAUUA
rnacentral:rRNA from 1 species